AAGGUGUACACAUUCAACGUAAGCUUCACAGACAGCACCAUUGCUUUAGGCAAUGUGUGUUUCCAGGUUAACACGGUUGUCGCCGAGAUUGGUGAUGGAGGUCAGGUUCCAAUUUCACCCAGUGGAUCCCAACCUUCAUCAAUUUCGUCUGCGUGGGCUGCAUCCAAGUCUACAUCAGCAGACUCUGUCCCAACUGGAGGUACCUCUUCUCAGACACCACAGAGCACCAAAAACUAUAGCAAGGAUAAGCGUGCAAGAUCGCCAACGCCACUAUCAAAAGGUGGGUCCUCAGCUACCAGGCAGGUUGCGAGGAAGAUAUUGGGAGGCUCACCUGAUAAAACUGGUGAUGGCCAUGACUUGGCUUCCGG
rnacentral:misc_RNA from 1 species